UUAGUAUACGAGUCAUCACUCCUUAUGCUAAACCCAAGGACCCAUGAAUAUAAAUUGUAGAACUGGUAACCUUCGCUUGCUGAGCCAAAUAUCAUGCCUACUUCAGGCUUGAACAAAGUUACUGUUUUGUCUUUACUGUAUGCUCUUAUAGACUGCUCUAUUAAAUUUGGUAUUCUCUUCUCCCCGAAAAGAGUAGUUAUACCAUCUGGCCGCAUUUUUCUAAGGAUUUGCAAGGUGUGAUUUAAUAAUAAGUGGAAAACAGGAAUUAGCAUCAAGGACUUUAUGUUGAUCAACAAACCUGUAGCAGUGUGAUUUGCUUGAAGCAUCAUCGUCAUCGUUCUCUACAGCCAUUGAAGAAAAACUACGUAU
rnacentral:lncRNA from 1 species